rnacentral:lncRNA from 1 species
GCGCGGGUAUCCUCAAGGGACCUGCGCAGAGUCUGGACAUUACUCUCAGGCCAACGAGGUGGGCAGGCCUGCUGCUAGGUGACCGAGUCCUCUUUGGCGGUUUUAAUUUCCCCAGCAACUUGCUCGCCUUCUGCUGUAGCUGAAUCUGGCGCGUAAGAUUCCUGGCGGCCCAGGCCCACACCAAGGUUUGUGCCCGGCCCAGCCAGAGUGAAGUUUGAAACGGAGACCUCUGCCGGAAGGAGCGGGUCGUUGGCAGGACAGCGGUUUGGCCUCCUUCCCCUCCGCCCUUGCACAGCCUGGGGCGGUGAGGAGGGUUAAUGUGAGAUGGCACAGCAUAGGAGACUGAAGUGUGAAAGAAGUCAUAAGAAGGCUUCCUGAGGACUUUGAGGCAACAGAGUGUUGCGUUAAGACCUGACCAUGAGGCAUCAGGCCAUGCCUGCGGAGCCGUGGACAAACAUGAAGCAGUAGAACAGCGUUGUCAAAAUAUACUCACUGAAUUAUGUCAAGACCUUACAGCGCAGAAUUAUUUGAGGGAAACACCAAGUACCAUCAAAAAGAAUUGAAGCCUGACAACCAAGGCUUGAGGCUGACUUCUUUCUCUGAGGCUCCCUCACUCCUGCGCCUCUUGAAUGCCUGACCCUGAAUGAAGCUUCUGUCAUCUAAGAUGGGAAGAGCAGGAGUGUAUCCGUAGUGGCUUUGAUGAGGAUGGAACCCACGUGGUUCCAGACUUUGCCUUUUACACUGACAGUGUUCCGGGAUCUCAAACAUGUCCCAUCCUGCUAGUUUGCUUUGCACCAUUUAAAAUGUCUUGUUUACUCUUCAGAGUUUCAUGUUGAUCUUGGCUUGGGAUAUAUGGCCUUUCUAAAUCUUGAAGGAAGACAUAUUUGUUACUGAGAAGUGGCCUGUGUUCUGUUUCUUUAUCCUCCUGAAUUCUGAAAGUUCAUCUAAGACAGAAAGCUGGCUUAGGUUCCCCCUGCAUCACUCACCCUUCCUGUUGCCAAAACGAGGGAGUGGAGUAAGGCAUGUUGGAAUCACGGACCCAGAUGCGGAUGCUGGCCUGAUUCUCUAUUGCCCACAAAUAUUUAAUGAUAGUCUCUGUGCAUGACACAGUAUGUUCAAUCAGUAACAUUAUUGAUGAUGUUUUCAAGUUAUAGAAUCUUAAAAUCUAAAGUGUAAGGCUUUCAUGUACCUAUGCAAGAACUCUUUGUAAGGCAUUUAAAUUUGUUCUGCAUUAAUUCUAACCUAAAAGACAAAGGUAAAAAUAAAAACUAGUCCAAAGUCUUACAGCCAUAGUAAUUCUUCCAAAGUCACAAGCAGGUGCCUUUUAAAAAUAGUAGUAUGUCGAGUGGCUCACAGUGCUUGGAAUUAAAAGGUUAAGUGAACAUAAAGCGCACACCCAGGUUCUUGACAGCCUGGUGUAUGAAGAACAGAUUGGUUCGCACUGUGCCUGAGAAGCCCGUUAGAGCCCUGCCACAGAAGUGGGUACCGCGAGAUGGAUGGGAUCGCCCUUUCCUUCAGGAAGUAGGAAUCCCUGUAUUACAAGGACUCAAAUUCUGCCGCUAGGGGGCAGUGCCCCACAGCUCUGCAACUGGAAGGCACUGCACUGGGGAAGAUUUAUCCAUUUUGUACCCUCACCAACUCCCUCUCCUUCAUUUCUCAGGAUGACAACACCUUGCAGGUUUAUGGCCGUCAGGAGAAUUUACUGCUAAGCCAUAUACUGAUGUAAUGAAAUCUAAUAUAUGCCGUGCCAUGAAUUAUGAGUUGUUAUUUAGUUUGGGGAUUUUAUUACUUCAAUCACUUAUGACCAUAUUUCCUUUUAUAUGAUUGCUCACUCUUUAAACAUACCAGAUGACUAUACAUGGAACACCCAAUAAAGCCCAAAUAUGUUAAAACAUUGUUAAAAUAUAAA